ACAGAGGGGGCAAGCGUUGUUCGGAAUUACUGGGCGUAAAGGGCGCGUAGGCGGCCUGCUAAGUCGAACGUGAAAUCCCUGGGCUCAACCCAGGAACUGCGUCCGAUACUGGUUGGCUUGAAUCCGGGAGAGGGAUGUGGAAUUCCAGGUGUAGCGGUGAAAUGCGUAGAUAUCUGGAGGAACACCGUUGGCGAAGGCGAGCUUCUGGGCUGUCUCUGACGCUGAGGCGCGAAAGCUGGGGGAGCAAACAGGA
rnacentral:rRNA from 1 species